AUGUCGGUGGUGCAAUGGUUAGCUCACGUCCCCGAAGAGGGUGUGAUACGAGUUCGAAUCUCGUCUGACGUU